GCUUUUGUUUUCCAUUUAUAUGAGGAAAUUAUUAUCUCACAGUUGCCAGUCGUAAUUCUAGUAGUAUUUUGCAGUAGUAGUGUCUCAGCUGUAACGGUAGUGGUAAUAUUUAGCAGUAUAACUAACAUUAUUUAUUCAUUCAUUCAGUUUUUAUUUAGGACACAGCUUAGACACACAUUAGUAACAUUAUACCUAUGUUUAUUUAUUUUUCAAUAAACAAUUCAAGUGUAAAAUGUUGUUGAGGUGUUAUAAACACAACCAACACCCUAAAGAUAAAAAAAAAAAAAAAAAAAAACUUAAAAAAAACUGUAAAAAUAACCAAGAGUCAAUAUGAAGUCAUUAACAAUUAAAUGAAGUUAUUAGAUAGUAAAGGUAGGUCUAUGGAAAUAUAGAGUUGGAGGAGAUUUGAAUUAGAUUUGAGUAUGGCUUUGAAAGUGAUGAAAAUGUCACUUUAAUUUUGACUUUUGUUAAAGCUGCCAGACGCCCCGAUAUGACCUGAGACAUGAGGGCAAAAACAUGAUCUGUUUUGACCCAAUAAAAUCCUUGGGAAUUGAAACAUGAGAGAGCGCAAAAAAGGUGUUGUAGCUGUGCCAAAUAUUCUUGGUACUCUAAAGCCUAUUAUCCAGGAUGAGGCCUUAAAGACAAAAAUAAACAUUUGCAGUUGUUCAAAACGUAUCAAAAAAAAAAAGUUGGCCAAGCCUACAAGUUUAUCUGAUCAUACUACAUUCACUCUAAGGGUUACAGGUUAUUAUAAAUUAUUUUUAGUUGAGUAAUGAAUGUGCAUUUGUAAUUAACUUUAUCGUGGGCAGAAGUUCUGAGGUCACAUGCUCUAGAACAGGGCAAAAAAUUAAAAGAAAACAAAAAGUACACAUUUCAUACAGGUGAAUACAUUUCACAGUUAAGGUAAGUAACAUUAAUUUACCUUUGAAUAACGUGAUCAUAGCUGUAACUUACUCAUGUGCAUAAAAGUGAUUGCAUAGGUUUUGAAAAUAUCAAUACAUAUGCAGUCACUUUUUUCUGUGUCUGCCAGUACUAUGAAUUUGAUCCCAUCUCUGUUUUUGAUGGCAGAGUUUGCAAAAAUGGCAGUCCAACCACCUCUGUACCAGUUAUUUCCUCUCAGGCCAUCGGCACCUCAAACCAGCAUGGAGGCGUUGGUGUCAGCCUUGUGGUGUCAACUCUGCCCUGGACAGUACUUUGGACAAAACCACAGACUGGAUAAAGUCUUUGCUAGGAUGUCCAGCUGGCCAGAACAGGCAGCCUUGCAGCUCUGUCCCUACUAUUUUGACCAGGUCACUUACAGUCUUCCUACCAGAGACCAAGUGAAACGCAUGGAGAGCUGCAACCUCAGGCUGCACUGCUUCGACUCAUGGGUAGACUUAAAACAAGAAAAGCAGAGGGCCACUGAGCAGCAAGGAAGAUGGCAUUUAAGGACCGACCGAGAAGCUCGGCCUACAGCUGGCAUCCACUUGAGUCGACUUUGUCAACUCCAGGAUCCAAACACUGGCAGGAGUAUAUCCACAAAACAGUAUAAUUAUCUGAUGUAUGGCUACUGCUAAAUACAGAUAUGAAUGAG